rnacentral:rRNA from 1 species
AUACGGUCAAAUCACGGUGAAAACAUCUGUUCUUGUUCGAUCAUCGAAGUUAAGCAUCGUAGAGCCAGCUCAGUACUUAGAUGGGUUAGGGUUGGGAACACCUGGUACUGUAAG